rnacentral:misc_RNA from 1 species
GAAAUGCGAUACGUAAUGUGAAUUGCAGAAUUCAGUGAAUCAUCGAAUCUUUGAACGCAUAUUGCGCUCUUUGGUAUUCCGAAGAGCAUGCUUGUUUGAGUAUCAGUAAACACCUCAAAACUUUUUUUUAUUUUUAAAAAACAGUUUUGGACUUGAGCAAUCCCAACACCAAUCUUUUUUAGAUCGGUGGCGGGUUGCUUGAAAUGCAGGUGCAGCUGGACAUUCUCCUGAGCUAAAAGCAUAUUUAUUUAGUCCCGUCAAACGGAUUAUUACUUUUGCUGCAGCUAAUAUAAAGGGAGUUUGACCGUUUUGGCUGACUGAUGCAGGAUUUCACAAGGGUCGGCAACGAUUCUUGUAAAACUCGAUCUCAAAUCAAGUAAGACUACCCGCUGAACUUAA